AAAUAAAAAUAUUUACAGUGGAUAGAAUGGAGGAAUUAUAUAAGAAACGAGGAUACCAAUUUGCAACCAUUCUUUUAUUGAUGAAGGAAAGAAAAUGAAAAUACAAAUAAAGAGUCCAAAUUGGCAUAUUUGGUGGUAAGGUAAGAUAUUUCACCUCCCGGCCUAUUAUCACUUCCUCGAUAUGACAUACAGUCAUAAUCCGUAAGUGUGCUUCUUUUUAUCUUAGGAUCACGUUGGUUUUUGGUUUUUUCUAUGACAGUCGUUUAAUACAGUUGCUCCAACUCAUUUAUCGUGGGACACACUAAUAUAAUCAAAUAUCUAACUUCCACACAGCCAAAACAAGAUGUUUUAUCAACACAAGAAAGGUGAUACUUUCAAACGUUCAAACAUCAUUGUUGUUAAUGCCAUGUAACACACUACUACCUCCGGCUUUCCGUUUACACUUUCUUUUAUUUAUUUAUCUAUUUAUUUAAAAGUUUUGAAGAAACGGCUUUUCAAUGUAUGGUAACAUUUUUCAUAAAUUCAAAUUAAAUUAUUGUAUUUGAA